CUUUUUAAUAGUUCUAAAUCAUAUAGCAUCUUUCCACAUUAGAAAUAUGGGGAAAGAUGCUAUAUGACUUAGGGCUAUUAAAAG